rnacentral:rRNA from 1 species
UACGUAGGGGCCUAGCGUUGUCCGGAUUUAUUGGGCGUAAAGAGCUCGUAGGCGGUUCGGCAAGUCAGAUGUGAAAUCUCCACGCUUAACGUGGAGGGGCCAUUCGAAACUGCCGUGACUCGAGUCCGGUAGGGGAGUGUGGAAUUCCCGGUGUAGCGGUGAAAUGCGUAGAUAUGCGGAGGAACACCGAUGGCGAAGGCAAUCCCCUGGGCCUGCACUGACGCUCAUGCACGAAAGCGUGGGGAGCAAACAGG